AAAAAAAGAAAGGAAGAAGGAAGGAAGAGAAAAUUGUAUUAGAUAUAGGCAAAGCUAUAAUAAAGAACCAAAUGGCUACUAGACCAGGAAACAUAAACAUAAUUUCAAGUAUCCACUUGUUUUAAACAGGCUCUCACUACAUAUCCCAGACUGGCCUUGAACUCUUGGUGAUCCUCCUGCCUCAGCCUCCUGAGUUCUGGGGUUAUAGGCAUGGGCCACCAUUUCCGGUCAAGUGUCCACUGUCAACACACUGAAAGAAAAAAUGUGUUUAUCAGAUUGCAGCUGAGCUAAUAAAUUAAUCAUGGAAGUGAGUAAGCAAAUUCCCUAACCCAUUGUUAUGGAUUAAGAACUGGUGGUCAACUUAACGCCAGCUGGAUUACAUCAGCAUGGAACUGAGCCAAGAUGCUCCACCUGAGGAAAGUUGCCAACAUAAAUAGGUGGAGAAGAAGGUUGUUAAGGCAUUGAGACCUUAAUGUGUUGUUGCACUGAGGCAUUGUGGGUUCUCCUGGAGAAGCUCUGGUCCUCACGCUGAGCAUUGCUUCCUGGCUCCGGAGGGGAAGACAUGUGCUACUUGGUCACCAGGAUGAACUCGUCACACUGGCUUCCUGGCAUGUACCCGACUGUGCUUGUCAUCAGAGGAGCUCGGGGCCUCCGUGUCACUGACGAUGGCUGUGGUGCCUUUCAGGAUAGCCCUGGUCUUAUGAGUGUGAUUUCUCGGCUCCAGCUUAGAACCCUCAACCUACCAGCAGCUCCUUCACCCUGCUGGCAUGGACUUUCUGACUUCCACUGCUGACUUUUGGGCCUUCCCAGCAUGGAUCUGUAAAAGAGACUGGUGUAGGCAACUGGCCUCUCCCAGGGACUGGCUGAGCAAGCCUGCAGAAGCCAGAACAGCCCCAAAGGGUGACAGGAUCACAGUGGCACUGACAGCUGAAAAAUCUCGAACUGGCUUUACAGAUCAACUGCCAAAAGACCUCUGAGUAACCUUGAAUCAGUGUUUUUGCAGACCGGAGAAAAGAGCAACUUAAUCCUGUAAAUCCAAAACUUUGUAAUGUGCAAGAAAUGCUUUAUGCACAUCAACUCAAACUGAAAACCAAAACUAUGUUUACCAGUUAAUUAAAUUUGUAAUUUGAUUUCUUCUGCAAAGCUUUCUUAGGCUUGACAGAACUUGGGCUGUUUACCCCCGGGUGGAGUUGCCCUAGCUUUCAGAUGCCUGGCUGCUGAUGUUACCAAGGGCUGGCCCAAGCAGGAGGAGAGCUUGGGCUCUGUCUUGUUCCCUUGCUCUCCUUGAAAUAAAAGGACCAUUCCUGUUUGGGCUGA